rnacentral:tRNA from 1 species
GCCGAAGUGGCGGAACUGGCAGACGCACAGGACUUAAAAUCCUGCGGGACUUUACCUCUCGUACCGGUUCGAUUCCGGUCUUCGGCACCA